rnacentral:rRNA from 1 species
GAUGAACGCUGGCGGCGUGCCUAAUACAUGCAAGUCGAGCGAACGGACGAGAAGCUUGCUCCUCUGAUGUUAGCGGCGGACGGGUGAGUAACACGUGGAUAACCUACCUAUAAGACUGGGAUAACUUCGGGAAACCGGAGCUAAUACCGGAUAAUAUUUUGAACCGCAUGGUUCAAAAGUGAAAGAAGGUCUUGCUGUCACUUAUAGAUGGAUCCGCGCUGCAUUAGCUAGUUGGUAAGGUAACGGCUUACCAAGGCAACGAUGCAUAGCCGACCUGAGAGGGAGAUCGGCCACACUGGAACUGAGACACGGUCCAGACUCCGACGGGAGGCAGCAGUAGGGAAUCUUCCGCAAUGGGCGAAAGCCUGACGUAGCAAAGCCGCGUGAGUGAUGAAGGUCUUCUGAUCGUAAAACUCUGUUAUUAGGGAAGAUCAAAUGUGUAAGUACCUGUGCACAUCUUGACGGUACCUAAUCAGAAAGCCACGGCUAACUACGUG